GACGAACGCUGGCGGCGUGCUUAACACAUGCAAGUCGAACGGUGACGAGGAGCUUGCUCCUCUGAUCAGUGGCGAACGGGUGAGUAACACGUGAGCAACCUGCCCCAGACUCUGGGAUAACAGUUGGAAACAGCUGCUAAUACCGGAUACGAGACGGAGAGGCAUCUCUACCGUCUGGAAAGUUUUUCGGUCUGGGAUGGACUCGCGGCCUAUCAGCUAGUUGGUGAGGUAAUGGCUCACCAAGGCGACGACGGGUAGCCGGCCUGAGAGGGCGACCGGCCACACUGGGACUGAGACACGGCCCAGACUCCUACGGGAGGCAGCAGUGGGGAAUAUUGCACAAUGGGCGAAAGCCUGAUGCAGCGACGCCGCGUGAGGGAUGAAGGGCC
rnacentral:rRNA from 1 species